GAAAUAUGAUGAUCAGAUAUAAGCCGCUAACUUUAUUAUCCUAAUGGUUAAAAUCCAUUUAUAUUUCU
rnacentral:tRNA from 1 species